rnacentral:rRNA from 1 species
AUGAACGCUGGCGGCGUGCCUAAUACAUGCAAGUCGAGCGAACGGACGAGAAGCUUGCUUCUCUGAUGUUAGCGGCGGACGGGUGAGUAACACGUGGAUAACCUACCUAUAAGACUGGGAUAACUUCGGGAAACCGGAGCUAAUACCGGAUAAUAUUUUGAACCGCAUGGUUCAAAAGUGAAAGACGGUCUUGCUGUCACUUAUAGAUGGAUCCGCGCUGCAUUAGCUAGUUGGUAAGGUAACGGCUUACCAAGGCAACGAUGGAUAGCCGACCUGAGAGGGUGAUCGGCCACACUGGAACUGAGACACGGUCCAGACUCCUACGGGAGGCAGCAGUAGGGAAUCUUCCGCAAUGGGCGAAAGCCUGACGGAGCAACGCCGCGUGAGUGAUGAAGGUCUUCGGAUCGUAAAACUCUGUUAUUAGGGAAGAACAUAUGUGUAAGUAACUGUGCACAUCUUGACGGUACCUAAUCAGAAAGCCACGGCUAACUACGUG